UACGUGUUCUGUAGCGUAAACUCUUGGUCUGGGCUGCAGCCCGAGAAUAACUCCUUUCUAAGCCGGAUUCUUGGCGUUUCCGGGAGAAUAGAAUCUUCUUUUUUUUUUUUUUUUUUUGGCUAAUUCAAGUAAUUGUUGACCACAAUAAUGAUUGCAGCAGCGGCGUUACCAAGAGUGUCUAGGGAGGGGAAGCGGCUGCAGUUCCUGAGACCGACUUCCAGGAGACCAGCGGCGCUGUUGGGAUCAUGCCAAUGGCACCGGUCCAUUGGUGCCUGCCCCAUUCUCCAGAGAUUGGACCUGCAGGACCACUGAGGGAAAGGAAGUCACUAAGUCCAGCCCACACUGAAGAAGAGUUGAAGAUAAAGCUCUGCUUCCUAGAAGGAAUAAUUUUGAUUUUACCCAGUGCAUAUUUUCCUUUGAGAUCAUCACCAAGAAGCUGACCCAUGCUGUACAAACACUAGUGGGUCUCUGUGAAGGUGACGGUUUUAAGACCAUUGGCUUGAAGUAGCUGCCUCUUCCCCAGACUCCUGUUCAGUUCAUGCUGGUGUGGACCUCAUGCCUGUGAUUUGAAUCUUCAUUGCUGUAGCUGCUCUGAGACAAAAAUCUAGAUAUAAAUGGAGUAGCAGAUGGGUGCCAAAUAUACUUUGAGGAUAACAGGAAGGUGAGUACAGGGGAAAUAUAUCUUUUGACAAUUCAGAGUGACUUUCCACAUAUAUUAACAGGCAAUGACUUUCAGAAAAUAUCCAUUUCUCCACAAACAAAACAUGACCAACUGUAUUGCUUGCCUUCAUCACUUUACCAUACAAAGUACCAUUCUCACAUUGAAUGAUUUUACUCGGGGAGUUUGCAUGAUACAAUGUAGAAAGUUAAUUGCAUGUAAUUGGGUCAGAGAAGGGACUAAGUAAGUAGCCAAG